AAUUGAGUUCUUAAUUCUCAACUUAUUUUACAACUUCAAAUAUAGAUGGGUACUUAGAAUGAAGUUUAAUUUCAAGAAAACUGUGAAUUUGUCUAACAUGGGAUUUAUAAUUAUUAUUUUUUAAUUAUUUAUAAUACUUUGUAUGAGAAUUUGGUAAAGCUCUGCAACUUAAAUUAAUGGGAUCAACAAGUAAAUAAUUUAAGAGAAGCUGCUGUGGAAUAAGAAAAUUAAGAAGAGACAAACUGGUGGAUGAGUGAUGAGAAAAGGCUUACAAUGCCCAGAAUGAUUAGUAUUUUACUAUUUAUUCAUUACGACUUGCAGCAUAAAACAAAGAUUUAGCUGUAGGCUGGUUUCGUCACUAUUGUCAAACAUUCAAACUAAUUAUCAUAAGAACAAUGACUUAAAUUUUUGUUUUGGAAUGGUAAAAAGGGAUUUUCUUUUUCAAGGUUUAGAUUAAUAGAAGUUGAACAUGUGAUGAUGAGAAUUUGAAAAAAGAAAAGAAAAAUGAGUGGAGAAUAUAUGAAAUUGUUUUUAUAAAAAAUAUAUUUUUAAAUAUAUUAAUUAA
rnacentral:misc_RNA from 1 species